rnacentral:rRNA from 1 species
AACAUGACUCUUGGCAACGGAUAUCUCAGAUCUCAACCCUAUGAAGAAUACAUAGAAAUAUGAUACUUAGUGUGAAUUGUAUAAUCCUAUCAAUCAUCGAGUCUUUGAACGUAAGUUUCACCUGAGGCCUCGACUGAGGGCACAUCUGCUUGGGCAUUGUAC